rnacentral:rRNA from 1 species
UUCUUUGAAGUGGAAGCUUUACAACUUUGUCUUUCUACCUCUGAUGCUGGCAAUAAGGCUUUUCUUGUUGUAUGUGCUCGAGGUUUUGUCUAGACAACAGAGUAGGGCCCACUUUCAAAUCUGCUCAUUCCUAUAUUUAACACCUGUGCACCAUAAACAAAGUCCUGCUCACUGGGUUAGCUUUUGUGGUAAAUGCUAUGUGUAUUGUGUGCACUUAUCUAGGCUUUCUAGGCUAGAAGAGCACAUAUUGUUGUGGGUCCUGCAUGAUCAGCUUGAGGGAUCGACAUGUCCCAAAGUGGAAAUUAGCAUGGAUUUGCAUGCAUAUAAAUGUUUUCACAGAGAUAUGCGCCUUUGUGAUGUGGGCUUUGUUUUUGAUAUACACAAACUCUGUAAUGUCUUGUAGAAUGAAAUGAAAAAUUGUACACAACUUUCAACAAUGGAUCUCUUGGCUCUUGCAUCGAUGAAGAACGCAGUGAAAUGCGAUAAGUAAUGUGAAUUGCAGAAUUCAGUGAAUCAUCGAAUCUUUGAAUGCACCUUGCACUCCUUGGGUCACCGAUGGAGUAUGCCUGUUUGAGUGUCAGUUUGAUCUCAAUUCCCUCAGGUUUUUGUAUGAAGGCCUGCUCAGGUGAAUUGGAUUUGGAGGUUCAAUGCAGGUUUCCCCCUUCUGCCAUUCUAUGAAUGGGGGGAUAGGGGAAUCAGCUCCUCCUAAAAGCAUUAGCUUGGAGGAUGACAAUAGGCUCUUUAGCACUGUUCAUUUGCUAUGGUGUAAUAC